CUUAGGACUAUUUUAAAUCGAUUAAGGAGGAUUUAUCGUUGAGUCCUUAAUGAGUUCGCGAUCAAAUAAUAUGCUAUUACUUGGAUGAUAGACAUAUCAAGUGUAGGUCGUUAUGUGCCAUAUAAGUUGGUUGUCUUCUUAACCAAGAAGCAUAGAGAUGCUGGUAUGACAUACAAGUAAAAUAUAAGAGUACAUUUUACUGAACG
rnacentral:lncRNA from 1 species